rnacentral:rRNA from 1 species
UUAGAGUUUGAUCCUGGCUCAGGAUGAACGCUAGCUACAGGCUUAACACAUGCAAGUCGAGGGGCAGCGUGGGGUAGCAAUACUCCGACGGCGACCGGCGAAUGGGUGAGUAACACGUAUCCAACCUACCUCUGGCUCAGGGAUAGCCCUUAGAAAUGAGGAUUAAUACCUGAUGGUGUCGCAUGAUCGCAUGAGAGCGCGACUAAAGAUUCAUCGGCGAGGGAUGGGGAUGCGUCUGAUUAGUUAGUUGGCGGGGUAACGGCCCACCAAGACGACGAUCAGUAGGGGUUCUGAGAGGAAGGUCCCCCACAUUGGAACUGAGACACGGUCCAAACUCCUACGGGAGGCAGCAGUGAGGAAUAUUGGUCAAUGGACGCAAGUCUGAACCAGCCAUGCCGCGUGAAGGAAUAAGGCCCUAUGGGUCGUAAACUUCUUUUGUGGUGGAGCAAUAAGUCGUACGUGUACGGCGAUGAGAGUACAUCACGAAUAAGCAUCGGCUAACUCCGUGCCAGCAGCCGCGGUAAUACGGAGGAUGCAAGCGUUAUCCGGAUUUAUUGGGUUUAAAGGGUGCGUAGGCUGUGAUCCAAGUCAGGGGUGAAAGCCCGGAGCUCAACUCCGGAACUGCCUUUGAUACUGGAUUGCUGGAAUACGGAUGCCGUGGGAGGAAUGAGUAGUGUAGCGGUGAAAUGCAUAGAUAUUACUCAGAACACCGAUUGCGAAGGCAUCUCACGAAUCCGUCAUUGACGCUGAGGCACGAAAGCGUGGGGAUCAAACAGGAUUAGAUACCCUGGUAGUCCACGCAGUAAACGAUGAUAACUAACCGUCGGCGAUAGACAGUCGGUGGCCAAGCGAAAGCGAUAAGUUAUCCACCUGGGGAGUACGUUCGCAAGAAUGAAACUCAAAGGAAUUGACGGGGGCCCGCACAAGCGGAGGAACAUGUGGUUUAAUUCGAUGAUACGCGAGGAACCUUACCCGGGCUUGAAUUGUAGGGGAAUGGCGCAGAGACGUGCCAGUCAGCAAUGACCCCUAUGAAGGUGCUGCAUGGUUGUCGUCAGCUCGUGCCGUGAGGUGUCGGCUUAAGUGCCAUAACGAGCGCAACCCUUGCUGCCAGUUGCCAUCAGGUUAUGCUGGGCACUCUGGCGGGACUGCCAUCGCAAGAUGUGAGGAAGGUGGGGAUGACGUCAAAUCAGCACGGCCCUUACGUCCGGGGCUACACACGUGUUACAAUGGGGGGCACAGAGAGCAGCUUGCCGGCGACGGCUGGCGAAUCUUGAAAUCCCCUCUCAGUUCGGACUGGAGUCUGCAACCCGACUCCACGAAGCUGGAUUCGCUAGUAAUCGCGCAUCAGCCAUGGCGCGGUGAAUACGUUCCCGGGCCUUGUACACACCGCCCGUCA